GACGAACGCUGGCGGCGUGCUUAACACAUGCAAGUCGAACGGAAAGGCCCAGCUUGCUGGGUGCUCGAGUGGCGAACGGGUGAGUAACACGUGGGUGAUCUGCCCCUAACUUCGGGAUAAGCUUGGGAAACUGGGUCUAAUACCGGAUAGGACAAUCGUUUAGUGUCGGUUGUGGAAAGUUUUUUCGGUUAGGGAUGAGCCCGCGGCCUAUCAGCUUGUUGGUGGGGUAAUGGCCUACCAAGGCGUCGACGGGUAGCCGGCCGGAGAGGGUGGACGGCCACAUGGGGACAGAGAGACGCCCCAGCCCCCGCCGGGAGGAAGGGGUGGGAAUUUUUGCACAUGGGGCGCAGGCUUGCUGCACGCACGCCGGGGGGGGUAUGACGCCCUCGGGGUGUAAACCUCUUCCGCCGGGAACGAACUUUUGGGGACGUACCCUUAAAAAGAACCCCCGCCUACCUCCGCC
rnacentral:rRNA from 1 species